rnacentral:rRNA from 1 species
CAGAAGGGAGCUUGCUCCCGGAUGUUAGCGGCGGACGGGUGAGUAACACGUGGGUAACCUGCCUGUAAGACUGGGAUAACUCCGGGAAACCGGAGCUAAUACCGGAUAGUUCCUUGAACCGCAUGGUUCAWGGAUGAAAGACGGUUUCGGCUGUCACUUACAGAUGGACCCGCGGCGCAUUAGCUAGUUGGUGGGGUAAUGGCUCACCAAGGCGACGAUGCGUAGCCGACCAGAGAGGGUGAUCGGCCACACUGGGACUGAGACACGGCCCAGACUCCUACGGGAGGCAGCAGUAGGGAAUCUUCCGCAAUGGACGAAAGUCUGACGGAGCAACGCCGCGUGAGUGAUGAAGGUUUUCGGAUCGUAAAGCUCUGUUGUUAGGGAAGAACAAGUGCGAGAGUAACUGCUCGCACCUUGACGGUACCUAACCAGAAAGCCACGGCUAACUACGUGCCAGCAGCCGCGGUAAUACGUAGGUGGCAAGCGUUGUCCGGAAUUAUUGGGCGUAAAGGGCUCGCAGGCGGUUUCUUAAGUCUGAUGUGAAAGCCCCCGGCUCAACCGGGGAGGGUCAUUGGAAACUGGGAAACUUGAGUGCAGAAGAGGAGAGUGGAAUUCCACGUGUAGCGGUGAAAUGCGUAGAGAUGUGGAGGAACACCAGUGGCGAAGGCGACUCUCUGGUCUGUAACUGACGCUGAGGAGCGAAAGCGUGGGGAGCGAACAGGAUUAGAUACCCUGGUAGUCCACGCCGUAAACGAUGAGUGCUAAGUG